rnacentral:pre_miRNA from 1 species
CGAUUUUAUCAGGUUUUCUAUUUCGUCAUUUUUCUUGAGGUUUGACACAACAAGAUAAAAAUACAAAGUAGAAAGCCCGAGAAAGCCC